CCGCCCGUGACAUAGGCGGGGCGGGUGGCAGGCGUAUUGUGGUGGAGGGGGCUCAGCUUGUCAGACUUUAAUAAAGUACAGAAAAUCUGGAAGUGCUAAGCCAGAAACCCGGAGUGUGAACAUUGGAAGGGAAAAACUAUCAAAACAAUACUUUUUAUAAAAGAUGUGCUGGCAAAAAUAAUUUUUACUAGUGGCCCUUGAUAAAUCUAGUGCCUUAAGAAAAAAGAUGGGGUUUGGAAAUGACCUGAAAUAUUCUCAUGAAGCUUUGCUAAAACUGCAAGAUUGGGAGUUACGGCUAUUGGAAACAGUGAAGAAAUUUAUGGCCAUGAGAAUAAAAAGUGACAAAGAAUACGCAUCCACUUUACAGAACCUUUGCAAUCAAGUUGAUAAAGAGAGUACGUCACAAUUGGAUUAUGUCAGUAACGUAGCAAAGUCAUGGUUGCUUAUUGUGCAACAAACAGAGCAGCUUAGCAAGAUCAUGAAGACGCAUGCAGAAGACUUGAAUGCUGGGCCAUUACAUAGACUUACUGUGAUGAUUAAAGACAAACAACAGAUAAAGAAGAGCUAUGUAGGUGUUCAUCAGCAAAUUGAGGCAGAGAUGUUCAAGGUUACAAAAACUGAAUUGGAAAAAUUAAAAUCUAGUUAUAGACAAUUAAUUAAAGAAGUAAACUCUGCCAAAGAAAAAUACAAGGAAGCAUUAUCUAAAGGCAAGGAAACUGAAAAAGCCAAAGAUCGUUAUGAUAAAGCCACAAUGAAACUCCACAUGUUGCACAAUCAAUACGUGUUGGCAUUGAAAGGAGCACAGUUACAUCAGCACCAGUAUUAUGAUGCUACACUUCCUUUGUUCCUUGAGUCUUUACAGAAGAUGCAAGAAGAAAUGAUUAAAGGACUGAAAGGAAUCUUAGAAGAAUACAGUCAGAUCACCAGCCUUGUUACUGAAGAACUAGUAAAUGUUCAUAAAGAGAUCCAAAUAUCUGUUGAACAAUUAGACCCUGGUUCAGAGUACAGUAGUUUCAUAGAAACUCACAGGACAUCAGAUAUUGAACAACAAGAAAUAGAAUUUGAUACAUCAUUAUUAGAAGAAAAUGAAAAUCUUCAAGCUAAUGAGAUUAUGUGGAAUAAUUUAACAGCUGAAGGUUUACAAACCAUGUUGAAAACUGUAGUAGAAGAACUGAUUCAGACACAGCAGGCACUUCUAAAUAAGGAGGAAUUAGUUCUGGAAUUAGAAAAGAAGAUUGAAGAGUCUUCUAAGAUCUAUGAAAGAAAAUCUGACAUUGUGCUUCUGCUAAGCCAGAAGCAAGCCCUUGAAGAAUUAAAGCAAACUGUUCAGCAGCUGAAAUGCACUGAAGUCAAAUUUGCAGCCCAGAAGGAACUUCUUCAACAAAAAGUGCAAGAAAAUGAUGGGAAAGAGCCCCCACCUGUUGUAAAUUAUGAGGAGGAUGCCAGAUCAGUCUCUUCCAUGGAUAAAAAAGAUAAAGUGUCCAGGUUUGAUACUAUUCGACAUUCCAUUGCUGGUAUGAUAAGAUCACCAAAAUCUAUGUUAGGCUCUUCAUCGGUAAGUGGGCAGUUUUUUGAUGUAAUAUCAGCAAGUGAAAAACCCCUGGCAGAACAAGAUUGGUAUCAUGGGGCAAUCCCAAGAAUAGAAGCUCAAGAGCUAUUAAAACAGCAAGGGGACUUUUUGGUGCGAGAGAGCCAUGGAAAGCCUGGUGAAUAUGUCCUUUCUGUGUUUUCUGAUGGGCAACGGAGACAUUUUAUCAUUCAGUAUGCUGAUAAUCAAUACAGAUUUGAAGGAACAGGAUUUUCAACGAUCCCUCAGCUUAUAGAAUAUCAUUAUACAACAAAACAUGUGAUUACAAAGAAAUCAGGCGUUAUUCUUCUGAACCCUGUUGUUAAGGAUAAAAAAUGGAUUCUCAAUCAUGAAGACGUCAUUCUGGGAGAAUUACUUGGCAAAGGUAACUUUGGUGAAGUCUAUAAGGGAACAUUAAAAGAUAAAACACCUGUUGCUGUAAAAACAUGUAAAGAAGAUCUUCCUCAAGAACUGAAAAUAAAGUUUUUAUCAGAGGCCAGAAUACUCAAACAAUAUGACCAUCCCAAUAUCGUAAAGCUUAUAGGAGUAUGUACCCAAAGGCAGCCUAUUUAUAUUGUGAUGGAGCUUGUUCCAGGAGGUGAUUUCCUUUCCUUUUUAAGAAAGAAAAAGGAUGAGCUAAAAACCAAACAGUUGGUGAAAUUCUCAUUAGAUGUUGCUGCUGGGAUGGCGUAUCUUGAGUCUAAAAAUUGUAUACACAGGGACCUUGCUGCAAGAAACUGUCUGGUAGGUGAAAAUAAUGUUCUGAAAAUUAGUGACUUUGGAAUGUCUCGUCAAGAAGACGAUGGAGUAUAUUCAUCUUCAGGAUUAAAGCAAAUUCCAAUUAAAUGGACUGCCCCAGAGGCCUUGAACUAUGGACGGUACACUUCUGAGAGUGAUAUAUGGAGUUAUGGAAUUUUCCUCUGGGAGACCUUCAGCUUAGGCGUAUGCCCGUAUCCAGGCAUGACUAAUCAGCAAGCACGGGAACAAGUGGAGAAAGGCUAUCGAAUGUCAGCACCCCAGAAGUGUCCAGAGGAUAUCUAUAAAAUAAUGCAACGGUGUUGGGAUUACAAUCCUGAAAUGAGACCAAAAUUCAGCGAGAUCCACAAAGAGCUGUCUGCACUGAAAAAGAAGGUGACAUCAUGAGAAACUAGCAGGACUCAAAAAACAGGACUUCCUUUUUUUGUACAAAAAUAUUAUUUUUUCUGUCACAAAUCCGACACAUUUAUAUCACAUUUCUUCUGAUGUUCUUCUUGGAUUCCUUUUUUAAAUAAAAAGAAACUACUCUAUUCAAAUGUGCCCAACCUGAAGAAUGUCAAAUUGUCUAUGUUAAAAACAGAGUGUUCUACUAAGUGCUUUAUAUGCUGUCAUUUAGGUUUUGUGUAAAUAGAUAAACAUGUAAUAUAUGUGUAGAGUUAGGAAAUUCUGGCUCAUUUAGAUAUUUCUGUGAUAAAUCCCGAAGAAUAUUUUGGAAUCUUUGUUUCUCUUUUUCAAUCCAUCCACUUGUAACAGUCUUAGUGUAAGUCCACUGGUUCAUGAACCAUUCCCAUGAAUUUUAAAGCUAAAGGCAUAGUUUUCAAUAUAUCUUUUAAGGAAAGGAACACACAAUGCAAAAUCACCAGCUGAUGCAAUAUUGAAUAUGUAUUUAUUCAAGAGCAUUAUAUAAGGAUUUGCUUGUAGAAUGCAGAAUGUGGACACAUGGUUUUUAAAGGCAUUUCAAUUUAGUAAUGUUUUCUAAUAUUGAAUAUUAUUUAUUUGCAUCUUUAAAAAAGAAAAAAAGAGGCACAAUUUGCCAGAAACUGGCAAGCACAAAUCAAUUAAUAGUGUAUUUUUUUUAUUUUCAGGAUAUAUAUAUAUAUAUAUAUAUAUAUAUAUAUAUAUGAGGGUUACAUACAGCACUACUGGAAAGUGCUCUUUCAGAAGAAUGGAAUUUAAAAAUAGAUAUUUUUAAAUGUGCACAUUCAGUAGUGCAGUCUAUAACAUAUUUGCAAAUGAAAGUAGCGUAUGAUUGAGGUAACCAGUAGCAUUGAUUUUAUAUCAGAAAAGCAAAGUGAAUUACCUGAUUGGAAACUUUGUGAAUUGAUGUUUCCUUUCUGUAUGCCCCGGGAGGAAGUAAUACGCACACAUUCAUACUGUAUCUACUAUCAGUUUCUCAGUUGUGUUUUUAAAAAAGGCCCUGAGAAGAAAACUGUAGUAAAAAAUUACUCUUUGAAAAAAGUUGUUUUCCCUCUAAAACUACAAACUUGAAACAGAAUACAAUUCCAUUUUUCUAGUUAAGCUCAGCAUAUCCAGCCUUUAUUAAAUUGAUAUUUGGAUGUUCUGAGAAUUAUAAAUCAAUAACCAGCAAAAUUAAUGACUGGAUUCUCCCUGAGACUCUCAAGGAGAAUGACUUUUUUUCCAGUUAUUGGUUUCAUCCUGAUUUCCUGAAUCCACAGCUGGUCAGUUCUGUUGCAAAGGGUUUCCGGUUAUACCUCAGAUGCAGCCAAAUGUUAGUCAUGUUGUAUCAGCAAAUCAGGCACUUCCAGAUGAAGUAAUGUGAUGUUUUGCUGCUUGAAAUCAGAAGAACCAAGAUGUUGGUGACGUUUGUGAUUGCAAAACAUCUUUGUUUUGCUCAUCAUUCUGGAAGAGCACUUUUGGUCUUUUGUGCAUGUGUCUUGUGGUAGUACAGAGUGGUGAUGUUGAGCAAGAUGUAUUCUACUUUUAGUCUAGAACAAUUGAUGUCAUUUAUGUGAUAAAAAUUAAUAUCAGAAUAAAACAGUAAAGCUAUAUUGGAGGAAAAUGUUCUUCAUUGUAAAUGAGCUUUUUGGUAUCAUAAUUCAAAGGGCAUCAGGUGAGUGUUGCCUUAUAUACAAAGAUUGUUUUAUAGUUCAUAAUCCAGUAAAGAGGUAAAAAGAAAUGAGAAAUAAAUGUAACAUUGCAGUUUCUAGGCAUAGUAAUGGGCAUACAUGGAUCAUUAAAAUAAUAUUCAGCAAAAGUAGGAAAAUUGAUUAUUGUGAUCCUAAAGGGAUCAAACAGUGUGCCUUUAAUCAUCGGCAUUCCUUUAUUAAUUAAAAUGCACAAGGACUGAAUCCUAACACCAUAAGAGGAAAAACACCACAAAUUGCCCAGUUGCACAUUUUCGUCUAUGCAUUCACUAAUAUGUAAAUGUCAGGACAGAAUGUAAAGAAUGUAUUUCCUUGUAUUCAUGAUGUUUUUAAUUUUUCUUUUAAGGGUUACUAUUUUUAUAUAGGAGAGAUUCCAUUUCUUAAAGUCUUCUGAAUGUAUUCUGUCUUGCAACAUGAAAAAAGACAGCACUUAGUCUUAAAUUGAUUAGAAGGACACCUUGUCCUCAUCUUCUUGUAUAAAUGUAAAGAAUAACUGCUAUUUAUAUUUCAUUUAUGUAAGCAGUUAAAAUUUGCAAUUCAUGUCAGACUGCUGCUCAAAUUUGAAAACAUUUCUGAACAUAAUACCAGAACAUUGGGCAUUUGUUUUGCCUGUCUCCAGUCCUAAAACCAGAGGUCACCUAAAAUCAGAAAUUAAAAUGUAACUAAUAUGAUAUUUUUCACACAUUCUUACAAUCUACUCUCUUAGUUUAUAACUUAAUUUGUAAAACCAGUUUUACCUACCAUAUAAAACUAUUUAAAUUAUGUUGUAAACCUAUAUCCAUACCAAAUGCAUAUAGUCAUUUCCUUUCUUAAUGGAGUAAGCGAAAGUUUUCUGCAUAACUGGAAAAUCUGCUUUCCAGGAUUAAUGUAGUUCUUGUAAAAACAUAUUUAGUAUCCCUCUUUUGCUGGUAAUAUGUAAUACUGAAUAAGCAUUUCUGUUGUUUCUUAACAAUAAAUAUUAGCAAAAUCUGAAAAUGCAAGAAACUAAUAAAUUGUGAUAAAAUUAACAUUUUACAACUAAAAGCUAAAACUUUUGAAGAUAUGUCACAUAAAAAAUAAUUUGAAAUUGAUUUGCACUCUACACCCUGCUUCAUUAUAAAAAAACUAUGCUUUUUAAUAAAUUAUCCGCAUAGCGUAAGACUUGUGCCAAAAGCACGUUAUUCUGAAAUACAAGAUCAAUAUGUCUUAUAUAUAAAAAACAAGGUAAGGAAGACCCUCAUUCAUUCAAGAUUGUUUAGUAACUUUCCAUUUUUGAAAUAUUUAUGUACUAUGGGGUAUAUUUUUAUUUAUGGAUGAGGGUACAUAUUUAACAAGUGCCACACUUUUUGCUAUUUUUACAUGUUGACGCAGAUGCUAUAAGAAGGUUGAAAACAGAAAUUUUAUGAAGCUUGUUUGGUUAGAAAUGUUCAGUUAGUUUGUUAAGUUUUGGGGAGCAAAUUAACUGGUUACAUCAAUUGUUGAGCCUGGUUGCAUAUUACUGGCAGUAAAUUACAAACAGAAGGUAGUAAGUAACAAUUUGCAGGUCUCUAUCGGUACAGUUUUUAUAUAUUUUGCUAGCUGAUUAAAAGAUUUAGUACUUUUUGUUUCUUUAAAAUUAACAAGAAGGGCUUUUAACCAUACUAUUUCUAGCUACCUGGAAUUUACAGAUUUUAAUUAAAGGUGGAGCUUUUCCUCCUUAGUUACUUGCAGUGAGAUACCUGCUUUUAGGUUUUGAGGUUGCCAGGAUAGAAGGAACACAUUCUGAACUGAGUCCGUGAAUGUGAGGAUUUUUUUCCCAUCAAAAACUUCCUUCUGCUUCCAAAACUGCUUCUUAUUUCCCAGUCACUGAGCAGCCUGCUCAACAGGAAAUUAAGGGAUCCUGAUCCAAGAAGGCCCAAGGAUUUCAGAGGAGGAAGGGAUCAUACUGUAUAUUUUUUUU